rnacentral:lncRNA from 1 species
AGUUUGAACCAUGGUCCUGCCACUUCCUGAUAAUGGCACCUCAGGUAUCUGGGCUGCUGACCCAAUAAAAUGGAGCCCCUGUGACCUGCUUUCAGGGCUUUCACAACUGGUCCCGCAUGACGACCCUGCCUGACAACCCCAACUUGGCUUCAGCCUUCCUCUUGCUGGAUGACUUCAGCAAGUCAGACACUCUCCAUGCAUGUGCCUUCUCGUUUAUAAAACAAAGACAGGAUUAUUGUGAG